AGCUGUGAUGGCUCAAAUGGAGAGCGCACUCCCCCCAUUUCUGGUACCUUUCCAAUCCGACGUCAUGUGCCCAGGUCGAGCCUUGUGGUGGUCUUCCACUCGCUUCGGCAACGAGCGAUUGAUGGUGCGGCCUUGAGCUUCUGAGGAAUCCUUCAGCCGAGUAAUCGGGCAGAGACCUUCAGACCAUGAGGUGGCGGUAUUGGAAUACACGUGGCGGCGGCGGUAUGAGGCAAUGGGGAUUAUGGAGCGUGCGAUUCUUUUU
rnacentral:SRP_RNA from 1 species